GACGAACGCUGGCGGCGUGCCUAAUACAUGCAAGUAGAACGCUGAAGGAGGAGCUUGCUUCUCUGGAUGAGUUGCGAACGGGUGAGUAACGCGUAGGUAACCUGCCUGGUAGCGGGGGAUAACUAUUGGAAACGAUAGCUAAUACCGCAUAACAGUAGAUGUUGCAUGACAUUUGCUUAAAAGGUGCAAUUGCAUCACUACCAGAUGGACCUGCGUUGUAUUAGCUAGUUGGUGGGGUAACGGCUCACCAAGGCGACGAUACAUAGCCGACCUGAGAGGGUGAUCGGCCACACUGGGACUGAGACACGGCCCAGACUCCUACGGGAGGCAGCAGUAGGGAAUCCUCGGCAAUGGACGGAAGUCUGACCGAGCAACGCCGCGUGAGUGAAGAAGGUUUUCGGAUCGUAAAGCUCUGUUGUAAGAGAAGAACGAGUGUGAGAGUGGAAAGUUCACACU
rnacentral:rRNA from 1 species